ensembl:misc_RNA Metazoa_SRP Metazoan signal recognition particle RNA
GCCGGGCGUGGUGGCGGGCGCCUGUAGUCCCAGCUACUCGGAGGCUGAGGCGGGAGAAUGGCGUGAACCCAGGAGUUGGAGCUUGCAGUGAGCCGAGAUCGUGCCACUGCACUCCAGCCUGGGCGACAGAGCAAGACUCCGUCUCAA